GGGUAGAGGCUCGUAGAUGGACCUGGUAGUCAGCUGGAGAGCAGCAUGGAGGCGUCCUGGGGGAGCUUCAACGCUGAGCGGGGCUGGUAUGUCUCUGUCCAGCAGCCUGAAGAAGCGGAGGCCGAAGAGUUGAGUCCGUUGCUAAGCAACGAACUUCACAGACAGCGAUCCCCAGGUGUUUCAUUUGGUUUAUCAGUGUUUAAUUUGAUGAAUGCCAUCAUGGGAAGUGGCAUCCUUGGCUUAGCUUAUGUUAUGGCUAAUACCGGUGUCUUUGGAUUUAGCUUCUUGCUGCUGACAGUUGCUCUCCUGGCUUCUUACUCAGUCCAUCUUCUGCUUAGUAUGUGUAUUCAGACAGAUUUUUGGAAGGAAAGCUUUCUUAAGAAAGAACGGAAAAGAGAGAAGAACCAAAUAGAUGCAAUAAAAAAUGAUAAAGGGGAUAUCACCACCGAUCCCACAGAAAUACAAACUACCAUCAGAGAAUACUACAAACACCUCUACACAAAUAAACUAGAAAAUCUAGAAGAAAUGGAUAAAUUCCUCGACACAUACACCCUCCCAACACUAAACCAGG
rnacentral:sRNA from 1 species